rnacentral:rRNA from 1 species
CAAUAGCGUAUCCUAAAGUUGUUGCGGUUAAAAAGCUCGUAGUUGGACUUCUACGAAGGACAGUCGGCCCGCCCUCUGGGUGUGGCACGAUUUGACCUCCGUAUCUGCGCCGAGAACGCUUGCGAUUUCGGUGCCAUUUACCCUGAGGAAAUCAGAGUGUUCGCAGCAGGCUAUUGCCUUGAAUGUUGUAGCAUGGGAUAAUAACAUAAGCGUGUGUCGCUCCUGUUGGUUCAAGUGGCCCACGCGAAGAUUAAUAGGAACAGUUGGGGGCAUUCGUAUUCUGAUGUCAGAGGUGAAAUUCUUGGAUUUUCAGAGGACGUACUACUGCGAAAGCAUUUGCCAAGGAUGUUUUCAUUG